ensembl:lncRNA
CACCUGCUCGGGUGCCCUUCCACACUGUGGAAGCUUUGUUCUUUUGCUGUUUGCAAUAAAUCUUGCUACUGCUCACUCUUUGGGUCCACGCUGCUUUUAUGAGCUGUAACACUCACCGUGAAGGUCUGCAGCUUCACUCCUGAAACCAGUGAGACCACAAGCCCACCGGGAGGAAGGAACAACUCCAGAUGUGCCACCUUAAGAGCUGUAACAUUCACCGCGAAGGUCUAUAGCUUCACUCCUGAAGCCAGCGAGACCACGAGCCCACCAGGAGGAAUGAACAACUCCAGACGCGCCGCCUUAAGAGCUUUAACACUCACCGCUAAGGUCUGCAGCUUCACUCCUGAAGCCAGCGAGCCCACGAGCCCACCGGGAGGAACGAACAACUCCAGACGUGCCGCCUUAAGAGCUGUAACACUCACCGCCAAGGUCUGCAGCUUCACUCCUGAGCCAACGAGACCACGAACCCACCAGAAGGAAGAAACUCCGAACACAUCAGAAGGAACAAACUCCAGACGCGCCACCUUAAGAGCUGUAACACUCACCGCGAGGGUCCCCGGCUUCAUUCUUGAAGUCAGUGAGACCAAGAACCCACCAAUUCCACACACAUUUUGGCGACCCAGAUGGGACUUUCGCCUAUCGCCAAGCAGUGAGACAAUCGCCGAGCGGCAAGACCAUCACCUAUUGCCAAGCAAAUCGAGGCCAUCAAGCUACAGAUGGUCUUACAAACAGAACCCCAAAUGAGUUCAACUAACAACUUCUACCGAGGACCCCUGGACCGACCUGCUGGCACUUCCCCUGGCCUAGAGAGUUCCCCUCCGAAGGACACUACAACUGCAGGGCCCCUUCUUCACCCCUAUCCAGCAGGAAGUAGCUAGAGCAGUCAUCAGCCAAAUUCCCAACAGCAGUCGGGGUGUCCUCUUUAGAGGGGGGGCUUGAGAGGUGACAGUGUGCUGUCAGUCCUCACAGCCCUCGCUCACUCUCAGCACCUCCUCUGCCUGGGCUCCCACUUUGGUGGCACGUGAGGAGCCCUUCAGCCCACCACUGCACUGUAGGAGCCCCUUUCUGGGCUGGCCAAGGCCAGAGCUGACUCCCUCAGCUUGCAGGGAGGUGUGGAGGGAGAGGCGUGAGUGGGAACUGGGGCUGCCCACAGCGCUUGCAGGCCAGCUGGAGUUCCAGGUGGGCAUGGGCUUGGCAGGCCCCACACUUGGAGCAGCGCCGGCCCCGGGCAAUGAUGGGCUUAGCACCCGGGCCAGAAACUGUGGAGGCUGUACUAGGUCCCCCAGCAGUGCCAGCCCACUGGCGCUGCACUCAAUUUCUCACUGGGCCUUAGCUGCCUUCCUGUGGGGCAGGGCUCAGAACCUGCAACCCACCAUGCCUGAGCCUCCCACCCCCUGCGUGGGCUCCUGUGCAGCCCGAGCCUCCUCAACGAGCACCACCCCCUGCUCCACGGCACCCAGUCCCAUUGACCACCCAAGGGCUGAGGAGUGCAGAUGCAUGGAGCGGGACUCGCAGGCAGCUCUACCUGCAGCCCCGGUGCGGGAUCCACUGGGUGAAGCCAGCUGGGCUCCUGAGUCUG